CAAAAACAACAGAAAGGAGACAAAAACAACAGAAAGGGACUGGGACUAACGUCCAAUAGCUCUUCAAUAGAAGAUUCCCCUUAUUACGUUUUCGUAGCUCUUUGCAUUGUGGUUAUAGUGGUAUCACUGAUAUUCAAGAUGGCUUAUUUUUUGUCCUGACCCGUGCAAGAACUUUUAAUAAAAGCUAGGGUCGGGUGCGCGAUAGUUAUUAGGGAGUUUACGAUCUACGACGCGGCCGGCUCGACGACGCGCUUUCAAAACAAAGAAAUUUGGUGUUUCCACAAACAAUAGUAUUAUGUGUUUUAUCGCCAUGCAAACCCACAAAGAACUUACAAAGAAAUUUGUCAGGCAAGACAAAAACUGUCAAUAAUUUGUGGUCCCAUGAGUAUUGUCAAACGCGUUGUCAUUCUCAACACAACGUUAAAAAAGCAUUUUCACGUCUUUCAGGCAACGCGAAAGCUUAAUGCGACACAAGAGGUGUUACUAAAAGUCGAAAUUACAGCAAACAUUGCAUCACUUUAGCCGAACGUAGCAUUUUGUAAGGUUAUUUGAAAGAGUCAAAUAUUUAUUACAGUAAUCGAAUUGCUUAGCGC